GACCUGGUGGUGAAUGGUUCACACCCACCUUCAUUCUACUUAUCUUUCAGGAAGAUGAAGUGGGAGCACCCGGUUCGAUUCCGGACUAGGUCG